rnacentral:lncRNA from 1 species
CAUAUAUAUCUGCACAUAUAAACUGUAUCAUAUAUCUGCACAUAUAAACUGUGUGUAUCAUAUAUAUCCGCACAUAUAAACUGUGUGUGUAUCAUAUAUAUCUGCACAUAUAAACUGUGUGUGUAUCAUAUAUAAUACAUCUGCACACAUGCUUCUCUGUAUUGAAAACCAAAUUGUCACGGACCACUCCCAUUCUCACGCAGCAUUUAGGGCUGUGGCUAGCCUUUCCCAGCUGUAAGAAACCUGUCUUUCAGCAUGAUAAACACAUUUACUUAUUUGCUCAGUCCUCUAAUAUGCAGAAAGUAGUUUUAGAAUUGCCAAAACCAUACAACUUGGAAAAACAAGCAUGAUUACUUCAAGAUGUGUUUGUAGCUCCUUCUGUCCUGGCAUUGGACGUGGAGAGAAAGCACAGACUGUUCCAAGUUUCAUUUUUCCCCUUCUCUGAAACGCAGAGAGCGUUGUUUGUUUCUGUUUGUAUUUCAUUUGGGUCCUCCCUCUAGCCUUAUUCAUAAAUUUGUAAAUGAUCUUUAACAAUCUGUUAUAUUUAUGAUGUUUUACUGCGUGCUGCCUGUGAAAAUGUUUCCUUCUUCUGACACGUUCCAGAACAACUAGGCUUUUAAAUUCCAAAUAUUCCUGUUUCACAAUAAACCAGAUGAGGGCCUCUGUUGUGCCACAGCUUUUGGAAUGUGGUUUAUUACCAAUAGAAGUGGCUGCGUGGCUUGUUAUGGUUUCAAUUACACGUGAGUAACAACCGGGGCCCUUCUGUGUCAGGUGCUGCUGAUCAAGGCUGGCUAAUGGGGACCUCGCUGUCCAGAACGGGCGUUUCCCAUGGCCCGGCCCAGCUGUUUACCACUUCUGUCUACCAUUUCAGAGGGGCUUUGCGGAGAUUAAAUGAGGUGAAGCGCUCUGAGAACCUCAGUCCUAAAGAAUAGCAGUUAUACUGGUUUUUGUAUUAUAUUUAUAUAUUCUUCUUGUUAAUAUACUGGUUUUAAUGUUCAUCGUUCUCUUGGGAUCCCAUGACAGUGAGCCUGGUGUACCUGAGGUCUGGGAUACUCACACCUCUCCCCAGUCCCAUGCUCCCCACUGUGGCAGUGCCUGUCAGGGACCCUGCUGACCCCAGGAAGCCUCGGUGUCCCCAGCGCUGGCUCUGCUCACACAGGCAGCAGGCUUAGUGUUCUCUGGCCUGGCUGCACUGACUGGACCAGGGACAGGGGAAGGGCCCCAAAGCACCCUGUUCCAGGCAGCCGGCCAGUCGUGGCCGAGGAGCUCCAUUCAACAGUGGCACCCAGAGGGGCCAGGGUCUCAUAAAGCUGGUCAGACGCCCCCUCUGGGUAGGGGUGUAGGAAGCGGCUGUGCAGCCGGGUCCCAGGUAGGGAGGCAUAGAGUGAAGGCUGUGAGCAGGAGCCCUGGGGCGGAGGGCCAGGAGAAGGCUGGGCACAGGUCCAUCGGUGGCAGCUGGGUGGGCAGAGCAGAGAGGCUGCAUCUGCACGACGGCAGGGCCCUGGUGUGGGAACAGCAGACGGGGCCCCUGGGUGCGGCGCCUCCUUCCCACAUCCCUGCUGCUCCUGCAUCUGCUGCUGGAGAAGACCACGACGUGCUCAGACCCCGGCACUGGAGAACUCCAGAUGUGGUGAGGGCUGCACGUUAGCUGCAUACGCACAUCUGGAAGGUGAGGCAGACGUGCCCACCGCCUCCAUGCCUGGCCCACAGUUGUGGGCAUGCAGAGCUCCUCUGUGGCAGGCCCAGGCUGCACCAGCUGCCUGGAGAGGCACUGGGGGCGGGGCCUCACUUGAGGGGCAGAUUCUCCCACCCAGCCAGUCCAGGCCCAGCGGCUGGAGCAUCCCGUCCAGCAAAUUGUCCUGCAAGUUGCCCUGGAGACCCAGCGUCUCUCAUCACGUCUCACUCCCCUGCCAGAUGCCUCUGCGGCAAUAACGAGAGUGGCUCUGCCUUCUGCACUGAAUGCCGACAGGUGACCAGAACAUGACACUGGGGUUAUGCAGUGCCCUGGUUGAUAUUCUAGUUCAUCAGGGAGCUUCUGGAAUGAUUUUUUUUUUCUUUUUUUUUUUUUUUUGAGACAGAGUCUCUCUCUGUCGCCCAGGCUGGAGUGCAAUGGAGCAAUCUUGGCUCACCACAACCUCUGCCUCCGGGGUUCAAGUGAUUCUCCUGUCUGAGCCUCCUGAGUAGCUGGGAUUACAGGUGUCCACCACUAUCACUCAGUUAAUUUUUAUAUUUUUAGUAGAGAUGGGGUUUCACCAUGUUGCCUGGGCUGGUCUCAAACUCCUGACCUCAGGUGAUCUGCCUCCUCAGCCUCCCAAAGUGCUGGGAUUACAGGCAUGAGCCACCUCACCCAGCCAACUUUCUUUUGCUUCACUUUUCCUCUGGUUGCCCCAUCUUUAUUGUCAAGUCCUGUUAAGAGGAACAACAUUAAAAUGAGAGCUUUCAUGGCAAAAAGGUUGCUGUGGGUUGAGCUUGCAAUGUUAGCUGCGUGUUAGGAUUCAGCUGACAUCUGUCUCUGGAGUCUCGCCCUUUCUGUAAUUCGCUUUUGACUGUAAUAAAUGUUGUACAGUGAAUGUGUGGGUGGGGCCUCUGAGUUACAUCGGCUCAAGGCCUCUUUUAAGGAGGACCCAAAUAAGAGUGGGGAUUGAUGUAUUUGACUGGGAACCCACUCAGGGCCACCAUGCAGUGAAGCUCCGGAGCAGGGGUGUAGACGCCCUGCUUGAAGCGUUGAGAAGCCCCACAGUACAAGUGUGCAGAAGUCAAGCUCCUCCUGCUGGAGCAGGGACAGGGCAAUAGGGAAAGGCUUUUCCAGAGGCAGGGUCAUUGGGACUGGCUCUUCCGGGAGGAGCUGAGGGCACACGCUGGGCAGAGCUGACCUCUGUGUGCGGAUCGCCUGGGAUGGCGCCUCCGGUGGCCUCACGAUAAAGCACCUCAGAGGCAGGAGAUGAACUUGAGACCUGACCGUGAAGGAGUGAGGAGUGAAGUCCUCUUCUCAACAGAAGGAAACCAUCAAAGAGGUUACAUAAUCAAAACUGUGUUGUCAAAAUAUUGCUGGACAGAGAUGGCGGCUGGUCCGGCACGUGGGAAUGUUGGUGACAAGAGGUCAGUUCGGUGGCUCUUGGACCUCCCAGGCCAGGAGGGAAGCGCCCAGGCCAAGGUGGGAGCCUGAGAAUAGAGAUUUCAAGAGACGCUUCUAAUGAAUGCUCAUCAGAAUGUUAUUAUUAUUUUAUUUUAUUAUUUUAUUGGGACUGGAUUGACUUGCAUUUCCUUCACUAAUCAGAAGUUUGAGGGCAAAGAUAAAUCUCAAAUAAUCACCUUGCAUUUCUGAUGAGUUAAAUGAGUGUGUUUUAUGCCCUGGUUGUAUGAGCUUGCUUUUCCACAAAUAAGAGUGGAAAUUUUAUUUUAUUAUUAUUUUGUAUUAUUAUUUUAUUUUAUUUUU